rnacentral:rRNA from 1 species
AUGAACGCUAGCGACAGGCUUAACACAUGCAAGUCGAGGGGUAACAGGGUAGCAAUACCGCUGACGACCGGCGCACGGGUGAGUAACGCGUAUGCAACCUGCCUAUAACUGGGGAAUAGCUCCCUGAAAGGGGGAAUUAACACCGCAUAACACUAUUGAUUCGCAUGGAUUAGUAGUUAAAUGUAGCGAUACAGGUUAUAGAUGGGCAUGCGUGACAUUAGCUAGUUGGUGAGGUAACGGCUCACCAAGGCUACGAUGUCUAGGGGUUCUGAGAGGAAGGUCCUCCACACUGGUACUGAGACACGGACCAGACUCCUACGGGAGGCAGCAGUGAGGAAUAUUGGUCAAUGGGCGCAAGCCUGAACCAGCCAUGUCGCGUGCAGGAAGACUGCCCUAUGGGUUGUAAACUGCUUUUAUAGUAGAAGAAACACAUCUACGCGUAGAUGUCUGCCAGUAUACUAUGAAUAAGCAUCGGCUAACUCCGUGCCAGCCGCAGC